UUUGUGUAGGCGGACCAUAAAAGCGCCGAAAUCGCAUGAAAUAAUGCGAUUUCGGGUAAUCGGGAGGGCUUUUAUGUAUUUUGAGUUGUUGCGGCUGCUGUUGGCAGCAUGGAUGAAUUGUGGGUGACCUCUGGACUGAUUGUCCAAGGCCCCGGAUCUUUGCAAAGAUCGGAAAUGUAUUUCCGGUGUGUUUGUCGGCAAAAUCUGCCGACGGAACGCGGUUUUGGCUCGGAAUUAUUCCGACGGUGCUUCGUGAGCUAUUGUGUAGUCGCUGAGCCUUAUUGGCUGGUCACCCGCGCCAUUUCGAGGGUUCGGAAAUGACGGGUGAGCGACGGUGGGUUCCGGUGUCGAAAUAGACACUUCCGGGAACCCGGAUCGGAAUAAUUAUCCGACGAUAAUCGUUUC
rnacentral:lncRNA from 1 species